rnacentral:rRNA from 1 species
GAUGAACGCUGGCGGCGUGCCUAAUACAUGCAAGUCGAGCGAACGGACGAGAAGCUUGCUUCUCUGAUGUUAGCGGCGGACGGGUGAGUAACACGUGGAUAACCUACCUAUAAGACUGGGAUAACUUCGGGAAACCGGAGCUAAUACCGGAUAAUAUUUUGAACCGCAUGGUUCAAAAGUGAAAGACGGUCUUGCUGUCACUUAUAGAUGGAUCCGCGCUGCAUUAGCUAGUUGGUAAGGUAACGGCUUACCAAGGCAACGAUGCAUAGCCGACCUGAGAGGGUGAUCGGCCACACUGGAACUGAGACACGGUCCAGACUCCUACGGGAGGCAGCAGUAGGGAAUCUUCCGCAAUGGGCGAAAGCCUGACGGAGCAACGCCGCGUGAGUGAUGAAGGUCUUCGGAUCGUAAAACUCUGUUAUUAGGGAAGAACAUAUGUGUAAGUAACUGUGCACAUCUUGACGGUACCUAAUCAGAAAGCCACGGCUAACUACGUGCCAGCAGCCGCGGUAAUACGUAGGUGGCAAGCGUUAUCCGGAAUUAUUGGGCGUAAAGCGCGCGUAGGCGGUUUUUUAAGUCUGAUGUGAAAGCCCACGGCUCAACCGUGGAGGGUCAUUGGAAACUGGAAAACUUGAGUGCAGAAGUGGAAAGUGGAAUUCCAUGUGUAGCGGUGAAAUGCGCAGAGAUAUGGAGGGACACCAGUGGCGAAGGCGACUUUCUGGUCUGUAACUGACGCUGAUGUGCGAAAGCGUGGGGAUCAAACAGGAUUAGAUACCCUGGUAGUCCACGCCGUAAACGAUGAGUGCUAAGUGUUAGGGGGUUUCCGCCCCUUAGUGCUGCAGCUAACGCAUUAAGCACUCCGCCUGGGGAGUACGACCGCAAGGUUGAAACUCAAAGGAAUUGACGGGGACCCGCACAAGCGGUGGAGCAUGUGGUUUAAUUCGAAGCAACGCGAAGAACCUUACCAAAUCUUGACAUCCUUUGACAACUCUAGAGAUAGAGCUUUCCCCUUCGGGGGACAAAGUGACAGGUGGUGCAUGGUUGUCGUCAGCUCGUGUCGUGAGAUGUUGGGUUAAGUCCCGCAACGAGCGCAACCCUUAAGCUUAGUUGCCAUCAUUAAGUUGGGCACUCUAAGUUGACUGCCGGUGACAAACCGGAGGAAGGUGGGGAUGACGUCAAAUCAUCAUGCCCCUUAUGAUUUGGGCUACACACGUGCUACAAUGGACAAUACAAAGGGCAGCGAAACCGCGAGGUCAAGCAAAUCCCAUAAAGUUGUUCUCAGUUCGGAUUGUAGUCUGCAACUCGACUACAUGAAGCUGGAAUCGCUAGUAAUCGUAGAUCAGCAUGCUACGGUGAAUACGUUCCCGGGUCU